AUUAAGCUUUUAUUGUUUGAAUAUCCCACUAUUUCAAAGAUCACGCGUGAAUUAAUCAAAUGGUCUUUCAUAAUAAUGGAGACCAACAUUUACAUUAUUUAUCCGGUUUCUCAAUUCUCACUCAAGAGAAGAGUAAUGGACAUUUGGUUCCAAACUAUUUGGUUUUGUUUGCAUUUGAUCAAUUUCAUUUGAAAUCAAAUUAUUUUCCAAGGCAAAGAAAAGAAAUAGGGGUGGAAGGAAACAAUAGCGAAACAAGCAAACUUUAUUAAUGGGCUUGGUUGAAAUAAAGACAAGUCAUGUUUGGUAGCUACUCCAGAGGAAACUGGUUUUUGGACGACAAAGGCAAAUGGAAGACUUAUGUUAAAGGCAAAGGAAAUAUAGACAUCGUCGACAUUCUUUUUACCAGCACCCAGAUAUUUGAUACAAGGGACGCUGUUGUGAAUUGAGCUAAAGAAAUCGGUAUAAAAAAUAAAGUUACUGUUAUCAUCAGAAUAUCAGAUAUAGAGACAAGAGAAAAAUGGAGGAAACAUGAAUUAAAUUAGGUUGUGACAAAGGAGAAAAAUACAAGUGUGUUGCUAAUUCAAAUCGAAGUUUAACAAAUAAGUGUGAUUGUCAUUUCAAGCUUAGAUCAAAACCAUUAAAAGAUGGUUCAUGAUGGACAAUUAAAGUAAUUUAUGGAGUUCACAACCAUAAAUUGUCUGAUACUUUAGAGGGGCAUGCAUAUGUUGAACGCUUAGAUGAAGAAGGAAAAAAACAUGUUCAUGACUUAACAAACUAUAAUGUUGCACCGAUGCACAUAUUAUUCUUAUUGCAAAACCGAUAUAAGAACAAUAAUACUGAGAUUUCACAAAUAUAUACACAUGAGUAUGGUUCGAUUGCACGUGAGAGGUAAUAGAACAGAUAUGCAACAUUUAUUCCAGUUAAUUGAAGAUGCAAAAUAUGCGUGUUGGAAUAGUAAGCGUGAAGACUCAUAUGUUAUGAGAGAUAUUUUUUUGGCGCAUCCAGAUUCAAUGAAUUUGUUGAAUUGUUUCCGAUUGUGUUGAUUAUGGACAAUGUCUACAAAACCAAUAAAUAUAAAAUAUCAUUACUCAAAAUUGUUGGUAUAACAUUAACAAAUAUGACAUUUGUAGUUGGAUUUGCUUAUUUGGAAUGUGAGCGGGAAGAAAACUUUUGUUGGGCAUUAGGGAUGCUAAGAUAACUGUUUGACACAAAAUAAUUUUUCUUAAGUCAUUGUGACAAACAGGGAUCUUGCGUUAAUGAAUGCAAUUGGUAUUGUAUUUCCACGUACUGUUAAUUUGCUUUGUCGAUUUCAUAUCGACAAAAAUGUUGGAGCAAAAUGCAAGGAAUAUGUCUUAAAGGAUAGACAAUAGUCAAUAUUGAAUAUGUGAAAAUACAUUAUGUAUUGCAGUGAGGAAAAAAAAGUAUAUUAUGUGUUUGCACAUGUUUGAGCAAUCAUGUGUCGAUAAUAAAAUGUUUGUUGACUAUGAGAAAUAAA